rnacentral:rRNA from 1 species
AGUGAACGCUGGCGGCAGGCCUAAUACAUGCAAGUCGAACGGCAGCACAGCAGAGCUUGCUCUGUGGGUGGCGAGUGGCGGACGGGUGAGGAAUACAUGGGAAUCUGCCCAGUCGUGGGGGAUAACGUAUGGAAACGUACGCUAAUACCGCAUGCGCCCUACGGGGGAAAGUCGGGGACCGCAAGGCCUGACGCGAUUGGAUGAGCCCAUGUUCGAUUAGCUAGUUGGCGGGGUAAAGGCCCACCAAGGCGACGAUCGAUAGCUGGUCUGAGAGGAUGAUCAGCCACACUGGAACUGAGACACGGUCCAGACUCCUACGGGAGGCAGCAGUAGGGAAUAUUGGACAAUGGGGGCAAUCCUGAUCCAGCCAUGCCGCGUGAGUGAAGAAGGCCCUCGGGUUGUAAAGCUCUUUUGUCCGGAAAGAAAAGCAAUCGGUUAAUACCCGGUUGUUCUGACGGUACCGGAAGAAUAAGCACCGGCUAACUUCGUGCC